GGCGGCGUGCCUAACACAUGCAAGUCGAACGCGAAAGCCCCGCAAGGGGUAAGUAGAGUGGCAAACGGGUGAGUAACACGUGGGUGACCUGCCUUCGAGUGGGGGAUAACGUUCCGAAAGGGACGCUAAUACCGCAUGACAUCCUGCCUUUGAACAGGCGGAAAUUAAAGCCGGGGAUCGCAAGACCUGGCGCUUGAAGAGGGGCCCGCGCCUGAUUAGCUAGUUGGUGGGGUAACGGCUCACCAAGGCGACGAUCAGUAUCCGGCCUGAGAGGGCGGACGGACACACUGGGACUGAGACACGGCCCANACUCCUACGGGAGGCAGCAGUGGGGAAUUGUUCGCAAUGGGCGCAAGCCUGACGACGCAACGCCGCGUGGAGGAUGAAGACCUUCGGGUCGUAAACUCCUUUCGAUCGAGACGAAUGACUUCCGGGUGAACAGUCCGGA
rnacentral:rRNA from 1 species